ensembl:snoRNA
CUUCCUUCUCUUGGCAUAUGAUCUCACUCCCUAUUAUGAAUGGAGGCAUAGGAAAAAAGCUUCAUUCCCCUCAGUACCACGUCUUUGGUUCUGUUUCCUGUCUACUGGUUCUAUUCUUAAGCAUUGAGACAUGG